AUUGAACGCUGGCGGCAUGCCUUACACAUGCAAGUCGAACGGCAGCACGGGGGCAACCCUGGUGGCGAGUGGCGAACGGGUGAGUAAUACAUCGGAACGUGCCCAGUAGUGGGGGAUAGCCCGGCGAAAGCCGGAUUAAUACCGCAUACGACCUACGGGUGAAAGCGGGGGAUCGCAAGACCUCGUGCUACCGGAGCGGCCGAUGUCAGAUUAGGUUGUUGGUGGGGUAAAAGCCUACCAAGCCGACGAUCUGUAGCUGGUCUGAGAGGACGACCAGCCACACUGGGACUGAGACACGGCCCAGACUCCUACGGGAGGCAGCAGUGGGGAAUUUUGGACAAUGGGCGCAAGCCUGAUCCAGCCAUGCCGCGUGCGGGAAGAAGGCCU
rnacentral:rRNA from 1 species